UACGUAGGGUGCAAGCGUUGUCCGGAAUUAUUGGGCGUAAAGAGCUCGUAGGCGGUCUGUCGCGUCGGCUGUGAAAACUCGGGGCUCAACCCCGAGCCUGCAGUCGAUACGGGCAGACUAGAGUGCAGUAGGGGAGACUGGAAUUCCUGGUGUAGCGGUGGAAUGCGCAGAUAUCAGGAGGAACACCAAUGGCGAAGGCAGAUCUCUGGGCCGUAACUGACGCUGAGGAGCGAAAGCAUGGGGAGCGAACAGG
rnacentral:rRNA from 1 species